rnacentral:rRNA from 1 species
UACCAGCACCCCGAGUGGUCGGGACGUUUUAUUGGGCCUAAAGCAUCCGUAGCCGGUUCUACAAGUCUUCCGUUAAAUCCAACUGCUUAACAGGUGGGCUGCGGAAGAUACUAUAGAGCUAGGAGGCGGGAGAGGCAAGCGGUACUCGAUGGGUAGGGGUAAAAUCCGUUGAUCCAUUGAAGACCACCAGUGGCGAAGGCGGCUUGCCAGAACGCGCUCGACGGUGAGGGAUGAAAGCUGGGGGGAGCAAACGG